UUUCCAAGUCCCCACUCUACCGGGCAAGUCCAGCUGGCCUCACAUCUCACCAGCAUUUUGGGAGGCCGAGGCAGGCGGGUAACGAGGUCAGGAGAUUGAGACCAUCCUGGCUAACACAGUGAAACCGUGUCUCUACUAAAAAUACAAAAAAUUAGCCAGGCGUGAUGGCACGUGCCUGUAGAGCCAGCUACUCUAGAGCUGCGGGCAGGAGAAUCACUUGAACCCGGGAGGCGGAGGUUGCAGUAAGCCGAGAUCGCACCACUGCACUCCAACCUGGAUGAAAGAGCGAGAACCCAUCUCAAAAAAAAGAAAACAAAAGGGCUUAUGUCCCGCUGCAGCUGCCGCCCUGCUCAAGAGAAAGACUGAGCGGGAUGCUAAGGAGAUAACGCCAAGGUGAAGGAUGAACCACAGAGAAGAUCCGCGAGGUUGUCUGUUAAACUUGCUUCUCCAAAGCCAAGUCUAAGGAGACUGUUGCAAAGAAGGGAGAGAAGGUACCCAAAGAGAAAAACGGAAGAACUGAUGCUGGCAAGGAGGGGAAUAACCCUGCAGAGAAUGCAGAUGCCUAAACAGACCAGGCACAGGAAGCCAAGGUGCUGGAGGUGCCAGGGGAUGACCCUAGCCAGGUCCCAGCACCACGCUCUUGGACUUCCUAGCCUCCAGAACUAGCCAGUGAAUGGGAUCUUGGAACAACGGAUGAAAAGCCAGCAAAGAAAGAGAGACAUACCUCCUGCUACGGCUGGGAACCAAACAGGAAUAACCCUGAAAGGCUGCCUUUUGUGGAGGAGACUUGUAUCUGUAGAGAAAAUCUACACUGGUGAAAUAAACAACCAGGCUUUCUUGGAGGCACCCCCUUAUCUGUACCUAGGAAAUUAUUAACUGAAAGUCUGACACCUAUGAAGGUCUGACAGAGCAACUUAACACAGGCUCAUGCCUAUUCUUUCUAGGAGCUGCUAUCUAUGACGUUUCAUCUGCAUAACUAGACCAUCUUUGCCCCAGCCCCUUCUUUCUUUCUCCCUCCCAUAACCAUGUUCCAAGCCCCUAUUCUGCUGUAACCUCAAAAUGGCAUAAAAGCAUCAAGCAUCUGGCCCUUUCUCUCAGUUUUCAUAUUUUGUAUGACUCCCAUGCCCAUAUGCUCAUUAAUACAUUUGUAAGAUUUUCCCCCCUUGUUAAUCUAUUAGCAGUUUGUUUCAUAGACUCAGAUGAUCAAAACUUUAGGGGAAAAAAUCAAAUUCAAAUUUCCCUAAAGUGGUCACACAGCUGGCUAGUGGCAGAGGUGAAUUUCAAAUCCAGCUCUCUGUAAGGGCCAGUUACUACUGCAUCACAAUACAUCUUAUAAAGUGCUCUUACAUAUUCAUUCAAGGUACUGUUGUUAUUAUUAAACUUGUUUGACUUGAAAUAGGUUUACAAACAAAAAUCAGCAUAAACCACCUAGUUCAACAUGUCUGAAAAUGUAGCUUCAAUAUGGGAUAAUAAAAUACAGAAGGUU